GAAUCCACGUGCAUGCUGAUGUAGAUCUGAAUAUCACAUGUUGUUUCUAACAUGUUUGGAGACAUGUCAAAGAAGUGACAACAAGGAAAUGACCCACUUAAAACAAGGGGAGGUGUUUGACCUUUGACCUCCAACCAGCUGGAGAUGGAAACAGACAGCUGACAGUGUACAGUGUCUCAGCUGAAGACGAACUCCUAGCUUUCUUUCUCUGACCGACCGACCGACAACAUCGUUCGACAUGGACAACACCGACAACCUGGUUCAUCCCAGCGUGGAAGCUGUUUUAAAGAAACUCGAUCCAGAGGACGGCGAGCAGAUCAUGGAGUAUUUUAAAACUCACGCCAUGCUGGCGAGAGAGAAAGCACUGUUGCAGGCAUCGGUCAGAGAUCAAAGAAGCUGCUGGUG